rnacentral:snRNA from 1 species
GGAUGUGAGGGCGAUCUGGCUGCGACAUCUGUCACCCCAUUGAUCGCCAGGGUUGAUUCGGCUGAUCUGGCUGGCUAGGCGGGUGUCCCCUUCCUCCCUCACCGCUCCAUGUGCGUCCCUCCCAAAGCUGCGCGCUCGGUCAAAGAGGACGACCUUCCCCGAAUAGAGGAGGACCGGUCUUCGGUCAAGGGUAUAUGAGUAGCUGUGCUCCCCUGCUAGAACCGCCAAACAAGCUCUCAAGAACUGUGUCAUUCAAUAGCAGCUGAGUCCCCUGGCUGUGGACAGAGGUGUAGUGAAAGUCGUGAAUGGUUUGUGCACAGCCUCUGUGAGA